rnacentral:rRNA from 1 species
CCUACGGGAGGCUGCAGUGGGGAAUCUUGCGCAAUGGGCGAAAGCCUGACGCAGCCAUGCCGCGUGAAUGAUGAAGGUCUUAGGAUUGUAAAAUUCUUUCACCGGGGACGAUAAUGACGGUACCCGGAGAAGAAGCCCCGGCUAACUUCGUGCCAGCAGCCGCGGUAAUACGAAGGGGGCUAGCGUUGCUCGGAAUUACUGGGCGUAAAGGGAGCGUAGGCGGACUGUUAAGUUAGAGGUGAAAGCCCAGGGCUCAACCUUGGAAUUGCCUUUGAUACUGGCAGUCUUGAGUACGGAAGAGGUAUGUGGAACUCCGAGUGUAGAGGUGAAAUUCGUAGAUAUUCGGAAGAACACCAGUGGCGAAGGCGACAUACUGGUCCGUUACUGACGCUGAGGCUCGAAAGCGUGGGGAGCAAACAGGAUUAGAUACCCGAGUAGUC